rnacentral:rRNA from 1 species
GCAAGUCGAGGGGCAGCGCAGGUACAAUACUGGGCGGCGACCGGCAAACGGGUGCGGAACACGUACAGAACCUUCCUUUAAGCGGGGGAUAGCCUUUCGAAAGAGAGAUUAAUACCCCAUAAUAUAAUGAAGAGGCAUCUCUUUAUUAUUAAAGAUUUAUCACUUGGAGAUGGCUGUGCGCCUGAUUAGGUAGUUGGCGGGGUAACGGCCCACCAAGCCUUCGAUCAGUAACUGGUGUGAGAGCACGAGC